GACGAACGCUGGCGGCGUGCUUAACACAUGCAAGUCGAACGGAAAGGCCCUGCUUUUGUGGGGUGCUCGAGUGGCGAACGGGUGCGUAACACGUGAGUAACCUGCCCUUGACUUUGGGAUAACUUCAGGAAACUGGGGCUAAUACCGGAUAGGAGCUCCUGCUGCAUGGUGGGGGUUGGAAAGUUUCGGCGGUUGGGGAUGGACUCGCGGCUUAUCAGCUUGUUGGUGGGGGAGUGGCUUACCAAGGCUUUGACGGGUAGCCGGCCUGAGAGGGUGAACGGGCACAUUGGGACUGAGAUACGGCCCAGACGCCUACGGGAGGCAGCAGUGGGGAAUAUUGCACAAUGGGCGGAAGCCUGAUGCAGCAACGCCGCGUGCGGGAUGACGGCCUUCGGGUUGUAAACCGCUUUCGCCUGUGACGAAGCGUGAGUGACGGUAAUGGGUAAAGAAGCACCGGCUAACUACGUG
rnacentral:rRNA from 1 species